CAGCCGUAAACAAUGUGCGUUAGGUGUGUCGGUAACCACGUGUUACUGAUGCGCCGAAGAGAAAUCGUGAAACGCACCACCUGGGAAGUACGGUCGCAAGGCUGAAACUUAAAGGAAUUGGCGGGGGAGCACCACAACAGGUGGAGCCUGCGGUUUAAUUGGAUUCAACGCCGGACAUCUCACCGGAUAAGACAGCUGAAUGAUUGUCAAUCUGAAGGUUUUACAUGACUAGCUGAGAGGAGGUGCAUGGCGUCAGUGACCU
rnacentral:rRNA from 1 species